rnacentral:rRNA from 1 species
UACGGAGGGUGCAAGCGUUAUCCGGAUUUACUGGGGUUAAAGGGUGCGCAGGCGGAUAUGUAAGUCAGUGGUGAAAUCUUCCCGCUUAACGGGAAAACUGCCGUUGAUACUAUAUAUCUUGAAUGCUGUGGAGGUAAGCAGAAUAUGUCAUGUAGCGGUGAAAUGCUUAGAGAUGACAUAGAAUACCUAUUGCGAAGGCAGCUUACUACACAGAUAUUGACGCUCAUGCACGAAAGCGUGGGGAUCAAACAGG